CCGUAGGUGAACCUGCGGAAGGAUCAUUAUCAAAACAGCGGACUUCGGUCCUUGCUGCACCCUUGUCUUUUGCGUACCGUAUGUUUCCUCGGCGGGCUUGCCUGCCGGUUGGACAUUAUCAAACCUUUUUGUAGUUGCAAUCAGCGUCAGAAAAUAAACAAUAAUUACAACUUUCAACAACGGAUCUCUUGGUUCUGGCAUCGAUGAAGAACGCAGCGAAAUGCGAAAAGUAGUGUGAAUUGCAGAAUUCAGUGAAUCAUCGAAUCUUUGAACGCACAUUGCGCCCCUUGGUAUUCCAUGGGGCAUGCCUGUUCGAGCGUCAUUUUGUACCCUCAAGCACUGCUUGGUGUUGGGCGUUUGUCCUGCAAAGGACUCGCCUGAAAGCGAUUGGCGGCCAACGUACUGGUGGUAGAGCGCAGCACAAUUUGCGUCUCUCUCUUCUACGUUAGCGUCCAUGAAGCCUUUUUCAAACGUUUGACCUCGGAUCAGGUAGGGAUACCCGCUGAACUUAAGCAUAUCAAUAAGCGGAGG
rnacentral:rRNA from 1 species